rnacentral:rRNA from 1 species
GAUGAACGCCAGCGGCAGGCCUAAAUACAUGCAAAGUCGAACGAGGCGUUUUUCUUCGGAGAAACUGAAAGUGGCGCACGGGUGCGUAACGCGUAUGCAACCUACCCUUAACAGGGGGAUAGCCCAGAGAAAUUUGGAUUAAUACCCCAUAGUAACUACAAGAUGGCAUCUGAAAGUAGUUAAAGAUUUAUCGGUUAAGGAUGGGCAUGCGUGACAUUAGAUAGUUGGUGAGGUAACGGCUCACCAAGUCCACGAUGUCUAGGGGGUUCUGAGAGGAUGAUCCCCCACACUGGUACUGAGACACGG